AAGUCGUAACAAGGUUUCCGUAGGUGAACCUGCGGAAGGAUCAUUAGAGAUUGGCCUAACGGCCGUGUCUUCAUCCACACACACCGUGAACCGUUUUGGAGCCUCUAGGGGCUUCAGACAAAACACCAAAACAAUUUGUAAAGAAUGUAAAUUAUCGUAACAAAACAAAA
rnacentral:misc_RNA from 1 species